AGUUUCCAUUUGGUCCUUUACAGAGCAAGUUUGCCAACCUGUAUCUUAAUUCAUCUUUGUGGCCAGAGAAGUGGAUUUACUGAUUUGUUUCAGCUGAUCAAUGUCUAUAACAAGCAAUGUUGAUGGGCUGAAAACCACACAGACUACCAGAGGGGUUGCUUUUCCGAAGAAUCAUGUAAGGAUAAAAGAGAAAGAAAGAGAGAAAGACCUUGGAACCCAACUAGUAUCUACCAAAUAGACAGGAUCUCACUGUGUUGCCCAGGCUGGUCGCCAACUCCUGGCCUCAAGUGUUCCUCUGGCCCUGGCCUCCCAAAGCACUGGGAUUACAGUUCUCUUCAGGGAAUUUUGUCUGGUUCAAGAAGUCAUACCCCAACCCAAGAGAAGCCUUGGACAUCUCUCAUAAGACAUCCAAGGGACAGAGCUCCUGGGAGACCUAGAGUGAGCUGGAGAGUGAACAACAUACCCCACUGGGAAGUAAGCAGCCCUGGAUUCUGCCUCUUGCUAACUGAUUCGUUUCGAACCCUGUUUUUCUAUCUGUAAAAGGGACUGUAACUCCCCUGCCCCUGCCUAGAUUCUCAUACCUGGAGACUAGGGGGCUAAGACCCCUUCUAGAGAUAAAAAUAAAAGUCUUAAAGAGAAAGACCAA